rnacentral:sRNA from 1 species
AUGAGUGGGGAAGGAAAUCACACAUGCCCCGUCACAUAGCCCUGGGUGCCUUCUGGUCUGUAAGUUAGGCCGAUUUGGUUGGGUUUAUGCGGGGGCGUGGAGGCCUAAC